rnacentral:tRNA from 1 species
ACAUUGGUGGUUUAGUGGUAGAAUUCUCGGCUUCCAUUCGCGAGACCAGGGUUCAAUUCCCGGCCAAUGCA